ACACAGGUGGUCAGGUAGAGAAUACCAAGGCGCUUGAGAGAACUCGGGUGAAGGAACUAGGCAAAAUGGUGCCGUAACUUCGGGAGAAGGCACGCUGAUAUGUAGGUGAAGUCCCUCGCGGAUGGAGCUGAAAUCAGUCGAAGAUACCAGCUGGCUGCAACUGUUUAUUAAAAACACAGCACUGUGCAAACACGAAAGUGGACGUAUACGGUGUGACGCCUGCCCGGUGCCGGAAGGUUAAUUGAUGGGGUCAGCGCAAGCGAAGCUCUUGAUCGAAGCCCCGGUAAACGGCGGCCGUAACUAUAACGGUCCUAAGGUAGCGAAAUUCCUUGUCGGGUAAGUUCCGACCUGCACGAAUGGCGUAAUGAUGGCCAGGCUGUCUCCACCCGAGACUCAGUGAAAUUGAACUCGCUGUGAAGAUGCAGUGUACCCGCGGCAAGACGGAAAGACCCCGUGAACCUUUACUAUAGCUUGACACUGAACAUUGAGCCUUGAUGUGUAGGAUAGGUGGGAGGCUUUGAAGUGUGGACGCCAGUCUGCAUGGAGCCGACCUUGAAAUACCACCCUUUAAUGUUUGAUGUUCUAACGUUGACCCGUAAUCCGGGUUGCGGACAGUGUCUGGUGGGUAGUUUGACUGGGGCGGUCUCCUCCUAAAGAGUAACGGAGGAGCACGAAGGUUGGCUAAUCCUGGUCGGACAUCAGGAGGUUAGUGCAAUGGCAUAAGCCAGCUUGACUGCGAGCGUGACGGCGCGAGCAGGUGCGAAAGCAGGUCAUAGUGAUCCGGUGGUUCUGAAUGGAAGGGCCAUCGCUCAACGGAUAAAAGGUACUCCGGGGAUAACAGGCUGAUACCGCCCAAGAGUUCAUAUCGACGGCGGUGUUUGGCACCUCGAUGUCGGCUCAUCACAUCCUGGGGCUGAAGUAGGUCCCAAGGGUAUGGCUGUUCGCCAUUUAAAGUGGUACGCGAGCUGGGUUUAGAACGUCGUGAGACAGUUCGGUCCCUAUCUGCCGUGGGCGCUGGAGAACUGAGGGGGGCUGCUCCUAGUACGAGAGGACCGGAGUGGACGCAUCACUGGUGUUCGGGUUGUCAUGCCAAUGGCACUGCCCGGUAGCUAAAUGCGGAAGAGAUAAGUGCUGAAAGCAUCUAAGCACGAAACUUGCCCCGAGAUGAGUUCUCCCUGACUCCUUGAGAGUCCUGAAGGAACGUUGAAGACGACGACGUUGAUAGGCCGGGUGUGUAAGCGCAGCGAUGCGUUGAGCUAACCGGUACUAAUGAACCGUGAGGCUUAACCU
rnacentral:rRNA from 1 species